rnacentral:rRNA from 1 species
UACGUAGGGGGCGAGCGUUGUCCGGAAUCAUUGGGCGUAAAGCGCGUGUAGGCGGCUCGAUAAGUCCGGUGUGAAACCUUGGGGCUCAACCCCAAGCCUGCACUGGAUACUGCCGAGCUAGAGUCCGGGAGGGGAGAGCGGAAUUCCUAGUGUAGCGGUGAAAUGCGCAGAUAUUAGGAAGAACACCGGUGGCGAAGGCGGCUCUCUGGAGCGGUACUGACGCUGAGACGCGAAAGCGUGGGGAGCGAACAGG